rnacentral:tRNA from 1 species
GGAGUUGUGGCUCAGUGGUAGAGUGCUUGCCUAGCAUGCACGAAACACUGGGUUCGAUCCUCAGCACCA